rnacentral:rRNA from 1 species
GUGCCAGCAGCCGCGGUAAGACGAACCGAGCGAACGUUGUUCGGAAUCACUGGGCUUAAAGGGCGCGUAGGCGGGUAUUCAAGUCUAUGGUGAAAUCCGGCAGCUCAACUGUCGAAUUGCCGUGGAUACUGGGUAUCUCGAGGGAGGUAGGGGCGUGCGGAACUAAUGGUGGAGCGGUGAAAUGCGUUGAUAUCAUUAGGAACUCCGGUGGCGAAGGCGGCACGCUGGACCUCUUCUGACGCUGAGGCGCGAAAGCCAGGGGAGCAAACGGGAUUAGAUACCCCGGUAGUCC